AAUGGUCAUGUUUCUGUAU
rnacentral:miRNA from 1 species